rnacentral:rRNA from 1 species
GUAGGUGGCAAGCGUUGUCCGGGAAUUAUUGGGGCGUAAAGCGCGCGCAGGCGGUUCUUUAAGUCUGAUGUGAAAGCCCACGGGCUCAACCGUGGAGGGUCAUUGGAAGCUGGAGAACUUGAGUACAGAAGAGGAAAGCGGAAUUCCACGUGUAGCGGUGAAAUGCGUAGAGAUGUGGCGGAACACCAGUGGCGAAGGCGGCUUUCUGGUCUGUAACUGACGCUGAGGCGCGAAAGCGUGGGGAGCAAACAGGAUUAGAUACCCUGGUAGUCCACGCCGUAAACGAUGAGUGCUAAGUGUUAGGGGGUUUCCGCCCCUUAGUGCUGCAGCUAACGCAUUAAGCACUCCGCCUGGGGAGUACGGCCGCAAAGGCUG